rfam:Picea glauca, whole genome shotgun sequence.
ACAUGCCUACAACAUAGCAUUAAUGCAUAGGAUCCCAUUAGAACUCUGCAGUUAAGCAUGCUUGGGCUAGAGUAGUAUUGGGAUGGGUGACUGCCGGGGAAAUCCUAGUAUUUUACAUGCC